rnacentral:rRNA from 1 species
GGUGACGAGCGGCGGACGGGUGAGUAAUGUCUGGGAACUGCCUGAUGGAGGGGGAUAACUACUGGAAACGGUAGCUAAUACCGCAUAACGUCGCAAGACCAAAGAGGGGGACCUUCGGGCCUCUUGCCAUCAGAUGUGCCCAGAUGGGAUUAGCUAGUAGGUGGGGUAACGGCUCACCUAGGCGACGAUCCCUAGCUGGUCUGAGAGGAUGACCAGCCACACUGGAACUGAGACACGGUCCAGACUCCUACGGGAGGCAGCAGUGGGGAAUAUUGCACAAUGGGCGCAAGCCUGAUGCAGCCAUGCCGCGUGUAUAAAGAAGGCCUUCGGGUUGUAAAGUACUUUCAGCGGGGAGGAAGGUGUUGUGGUUAAUAACCACAGCAAUUGACGUUACCCGCAGAAAAGCACCGGCUAACUCCGUGCCAGCAGCCGCGGUAAUACGGAGGGUGCAAGCGUUAUCGGAUUACUGGGCGUAAAGCGCACGCAGGCGGUCCUGUCNAAGUCCGGAUUGGUGGAAUUCCCCCGGGGGUUUCAAAACCCUUGGGGGGAAAACUUGGGUUUUCCGGAAAAAUUUGGGGCAAGAAAUUUUAAAAGUCCUUU